GGAAGCCUCAAGAGGGAUCAAGUGGAUUACAUGCAUGGUUGUUCCAAGGACAACUGGAUUCUUAUGCUUCCAGCAUCUCUUCUGGAGGACAUUUUUAUUGAUGUGGUUCUCCAGGAGGGUGACGAGGCAAUUUUGAAGCUGGCCCUUGUGUGCAUUCGCUUCAGGGACAUUGUGACAUGGGAAGGGUUCAGGAGACGAGCCCAUUUUCUUUGGCUUGACAGUGUCACAAAUUGGACUGUUAUCUCCACAUACUACAAGGCGGAGUUCUACAAAAUGUACACGCUGGAAACUUGUAGUCAAUGUAGAG